rnacentral:rRNA from 1 species
GACGAACGCUGGCGGCGUGCCUAAUACAUGCAAGUAGAACGCACAGUUUAUACCGUAGCUUGCUACACCAUAGACUGUGAGUUGCGAACGGGUGAGUAACGCGUAGGUAACCUGCCUGGUAGCGGGGGAUAACUAUUGGAAACGAUAGCUAAUACCGCAUAAUAUUGAUUAUUGCAUGAUAAUUGAUUGAAAGAUGCUAUUGCAUCACUACCAGAUGGACCUGCGUUGUAUUAGCUAGUAGGUGAGGUAACGGCUCACCUAGGCGACGAUACAUAGCCGACCUGAGAGGGUGAUCGGCCACACUGGGACUGAGACACGGCCCAGACUCCUACGGGAGGCAGCAGUAGGGAAUCUUCGGCAAUAGACGAAAGUCUGACCGAGCAACGCCGCGUGAGUGAAGAAGGGUUUCGGAUCGUAAAGCUCUGUUGUAAGAGAAGAACGGGUGUGAGAGUGGAAAGUUCACACUGUGACGGUAUCUUACCAGAAAGGGACGGCUAACUACGUG